rnacentral:lncRNA from 1 species
GAACUGAAUGUGAUUCUUCCACAUCACAGGUUGCUACUGAAUCUUUACUCUCUUGUUUGAACCCAAAAUUUACACAUCGGUACCAGAAUCCAUGCUCCUACCGUGCCAUUACUGUGGGCACUACUGUGUUCCUUGGAAUCAAAAGGCAGCAGAAGAGGUGGAGGUAUCACAUACAGUUAUAACAGUCUGUCUCCAAAAUAUGGAAUGUCCUGUUAGCCCAGGAGCCAGCUGACUGGGAGUUUACUCUUGCCCAUGAGUUAUGUGGAGCAACCCUUCCCCUGAGAGGAGAGUGAGAAGCUGGUGUACACUUGCCCUGGACUUAGAGCAACCCUGUGGAUUGGAGCAGCCAGCGAUAUCCUGUUUGUCCACAUCUCAGAUUAGCCUGUGGUAAGAUGUUUAUGUAUUGUAUGUGAAGAUCUUAAGAAGAAAACAGUCUGUUUAAGACUUAAAUAUCAGCUUUCUUUUUCUAAAGGAAAGAGUCUUUCCUGGCAUAUUUUAUUCUGGAAUUUAUUUAUAGUAUUUAUAGAUACAUUCAGUAAAAGUUAGCAACACUGAAAAUGAAAAGCUUAGCAGCUCUACAUUAGUGUCACAAAUGAUGACAGCAGGGCGUUUGGCAUCACAUGAUACAAUUAAUAUGAAAUUCUCUACUGCUGCAAUAUAUCACUACAGUGUUUAACAUCUUUUUCUCAAUGGUUGUUGAAGGUCAGCAUUGGUAUUUUAUGCUAUGAGGAAAUUCUUUAUUCCAGGCACAAAAUCAUCUGCUGUGCACCACAAUACACUAUCAUUCAAAUGAACC